rnacentral:rRNA from 1 species
CGGGUGAGUAACACGUGAGUAACCUGCCCUCUUCUUUGGGAUAACGCCCGGAAACGGGUGCUAAUACUGGAUAUACACUGGCCUUCGCAUGGGGGUUGGUGGAAAGGUUUGUUCUGGUGGGGGAUGGGCUCGCGGCCUAUCAGCUUGUUGGUGGGGUGAUGGCCUACCAAGGCUUUGACGGGUAGCCGGCCUGAGAGGGUGACCGGUCACAUUGGGACUGAGAUACGGCCCAGACUCCUACGGGAGGCAGCAGUGGGGAAUAUUGCACAAUGGGCGAAAGCCUGAUGCAGCGACGCCGCGUGAGGGAUGGAGGCCUUCGGGUUGUAAACCUCUUUCGCUCAUGGUCAAGCCGCAACUGUGGGUUGUGGUGAGGGUAGUGGGUAAAGAAGCGCCGGCUAACUACGUGCCAGCAGCCGCGGUAAUACGUAGGGCGCGAGCGUUGUCCGGAAUUAUUGGGCGUAAAGGGCUUGUAGGCGGUUGGUCGCGUCUGCCGUGAAAUUCUCUGGCUUAACU